UGAUCAUGGCUCAGAUUGAACGCUGGCGGCAGGCCUAACACAUGCAAGUCGAGCGGAAACGAGUUAACUGAACCUUCGGGGAACGUUAACGGCGUCGAGCGGCGGACGGGUGAGUAAUGCCUGGGAAAUUGCCCUGAUGUGGGGGAUAACCAUUGGAAACGAUGGCUAAUACCGCAUAAUAGCUUCGGCUCAAAGAGGGGGACCUUCGGGCCUCUCGCGUCAGGAUAUGCCCAGGUGGGAUUAGCUAGUUGGUGAGGUAAGGGCUCACCAAGGCGACGAUCCCUAGCUGGUCUGAGAGGGUGAUCAGCCACACUGGAACUGAGACACGGUCCAGACUCCUACGGGAGGCAGCAGUGGGGAAUAUUGCACAAUGGGCGCAAGCCUGAUGCAGCCAUGCCGCGUGUAUGAAGAAGGCCUUC
rnacentral:rRNA from 1 species